UACGUAGGGGGCCAGCGUUGCUCGGAAUUACUGGGCGUAAAGGGUCCGUAGGCGGUGUAGCAAGUCGAUAGUGAAAUCUCUGGGCUUAACCCAGAGGCUGCUAACGAAACUGCUGUGCUAGAGUGUGAGAGAGGCGAGUGGAAUUACGGGUGUAGCGGUGAAAUGCGUAGAUAUCCGUAGGAACAUCCGAGGCGAAGGCGGCUCGCUGGAUCACAACUGACGCUGAGGGACGAAAGCUAGGGGGAGCAAACGGG
rnacentral:rRNA from 1 species